ACUUCUGAUAUCCCGACCCUUGGCUAGUUUAUUCGUAUUGUCUCAUUCUGUAUCCCCGACCUUGGCUUGUUAUUUGACCAUUCUCUUUUACGUUAAGUACGGCCAUUCUAAAGUCCGGUAUACUUUGUUUGUGUUAAUAUAGUUUUGUGUGUUGGGUCACACAGUAAUCGUGACACUGAGACUGUCAAGGAGGCAGAUCAGAGGCAGAACCAGCACAAGUCAAACAAUCGGGGCAGAACCAGCAACAAGUCAGCCCUGGCCAAUCAUCAGCUCCUCAUAGAGAUGAAUUGAAGCAAUGAAUCUUCAUGAGGAAAGUUCAGUCUCCAUGCAGAGGGUGGAGACUCUGAAUGUCAGUGCUGCACACUGUAAAGCACUGCACCAGGAAGCACAUCUAGCAGCCAUAUUAG